AUUUAAAUAAUUUAAUUUAAAAUAUUGAUUUGUGGUAUCAAAAAUAUGAUUUUUUUUCAUUUUAAAUC
rnacentral:tRNA from 1 species